ensembl:lncRNA
CGGGAGUAGGUGGGGUUUGGCUGCUCUUCCGGGGAGAUAGCUGGUGCCCAGAAAUCCAUCAGCAGAUUGCAGAAUUGCAAACCUUGCUGUGGGUUCCAGUGCAGGCCUGCAGUUUCUGUAAAGGAGGACAGGGUGAGUGAGCCACGAGCUCAGUCCUGGGAGGGGGGCAGGUGUAGCCAAGACUAUAACCGGAAUAGGGAAUAAGCCAGUGCCAGUGCAGGUAUAAAAUCAGCAGGCCAGACCUGGGACCUAUGGGAGAGGGCUACUUGUCCUUGCAGAGCACAGUUCAGGGUAAAAUGAGGCAACAGGGCUCUAAUUGCUGAGUCCCAGAAUCUCCAGGUUAAAUGUUAUCUACAGCUACGUUCCAGGUCAAAGGGUCAGUUAGCCAUCACCUUAAACAACAAGACUUACGGGAAAGGUGCCCUUUUGUCCAAUUGAAAAUAUUUUAUUAAGAUUUUGGGUGAAUGGCUCCACCAAUGAGACAAUGGCUGCCGGGAUGGUGGAAUGAUGGUGUCGGAGCUAUAGCUGGCAUUACCAGGCUGCCUGACAAGAUUAAUUGGCUGUGAAUUAUGCCAGAAAGAUUCCAGAGCCAACACCAGAAAUGAGGCCCAAGCCACUCAUCGAAGCCCUGCCAGCACCCACCCUCCUUCCUGGAGGCGAGGAGCCUGCCUCAGCUGUUUUAAUGCAUUUUUUAACUGACUCGUGAAGCCUUCCCCCAAUCACCCUGAUGUUGCUAUGCCUAACAUUCCAGAAGGAGAGAUUCUUUCUUGAACCCCCUCAGUAUUUAAAGUAUGAAGAAUUAAAAAGAUACUGUGGGAGUUGCUUGCCAUUCAUGGCAACUAUUUUUAUCUUCUCGAGGAGCUAGGUUAUACGACACAUGGUGUGAACAAAAUCAGUUCUGCAAUAUUACAAAUCUACUCUUGAGCAAAAUAGUGAAUUUUUGAAGAGUGUACAACUGAUUGCUGUUUAUAUGUAUAUUUUGUUUUGUUUUGUUUGGUACUGGGGAUUGAACUCAGGACCUUGCACUUAUGAGGAAGGCAGCAGAACCACUGAGCUAGAUCCCUGGCCCUGUUUAUAUGUAUAUUUGUUUCAUUGUUUUGCUUUCUCAAUCACAAUUGAUAUGAACUCUUCAAGGGAAAGCAGAGACCAUUUUUCUUCCUCUUUUAUCUCUCCCAGGUAUAGCACGGUACCUGACAUGUAGUAGCACUCGAUCCAUAACUAGAAAAUUGUUUCAUAUCUUUGGUGAUUUUUCUUGGUUGCCCUAAACUUUAGGGCCAAUUUUAUUCCACUUUAUAUCCCCCAGUCUUUUACUCUUUAUUUUGAAUAUAACUACCCUUUCCCUUAAAUUUCCACAAAACUUGGUCUGCUCUCCUGCAUUUUAUCACUUUCUCUCUUGUAUCAUAUGUAGCCAUAAAAUGCUUAUCAGCUCAUCAAGACUUUUAUGGCAGAUUGCUAUAUGAUUUAACUUUAUAUCCUCAUAUAAGUAGAGCUCUUUACAUAAAAAUCUCCUCAUAUAAAAAAAGGUGCAAGGAAGGUGCAAAAGCAAGAAUCAAAUCCCUCCUGUCCUACUUCACAGCUACAGUGGUGAUAUGACGGCUGCCAAGUUUCAAGUUGCUAACUUCUAGCUGAAGAUGGCAGAAUGAGCAUAAGCAUAAUCGUCCCCUCAUUAGAGACCAGGAGAGGAGUUAUGAAUGGAUGAAACAGUGAAAUAAAUAUGCUGUGGCUUGGGUAUGGCUUGUGCAUGUACCCCCAAGGUUCAUGUAUUAGAAGCUUGACCUUGCGGAAGUAGUGGGACUUUUAAGAGGCAGGGCUUAGUAGGAGGUGACUGGGGCACUGGGGGCACUGCUUUGGGAUGGAAUUAAUGUAGUUCUCAUGGGACCCCAGCUAGUUCCCAUGGAAGAGAUUGUUAUAAGAGAAUAAGCCUGUCCCUUGUCUGAGUCACCAUGUGAUCUCUCCUCCUCUCACUGGCUCAUGCCAUGCUACCAUCUGCCAUAUUGGGAUGUAGCUAGGAAGCCCUUGCCCCAGCCAGCACCAUCCCCUGGAACUUCCAUAACUGUGAGCUAAACAAACCUGUUUUCUUGAUGUAUUACUGAGCCUCAGGUAUUUUGUUAUAACAACAAAAAAUGACUAAUACAAAAUAUUUGUUAGGAGGACAAUUAACAUUCCUAACGGGAAAGAAAGCUAAACUAUGUAGUAGGUAUAAGCUAGAAUUUUACUGUGAAGAAUCCAAAAGCAGCUCAGGAUUUGGAGUCAUGGGUUUUGGCAGAGAGAGGCGGUGAGGUGCGGGCAUAAAAUUUGAGAUAAGUUGAAAGCUUACAUACAGCACAGUCAAUUAUUCUUGUGCUCCAGGCACAGGAAAUCAGCACGCAGGCUGCUCCCACCUGUGCCAGGAGGCGAUAGAGGGUUUUUCUUAGGAAGAAAGGCCUGGGCAUCAGAAGAACCAGGCCUGAUAGAAGAAGGGAUGAAUCAUGUGGAUGCAAGCAGUGAAAAGAACUGUAAGUCUGCACCAGGGUGGUUGGCUGUACUGGGAAUGCUCUCUCCCUUGCAACACAACCAAAGUUCUGUCCUUAGGCAACUAUCCCUAGGCCAGUGUUUUCCAAACUGUGAGUUACAAAAUCAGUUGCAAUUAACGGUCUAUGAAAUUCGUUUCAUGGGCUGCGUUCCCCAGGAAGCAGACUUCGAGGCAGAGUUGAGAGUUCAGAAUGUGUAGCAGGGGCACUGCACUCUUGGGGUCAACAUCUGUGGAAGGCUGUAGUGUUGGACAAAGUGAGAAGCAGAGCUGUGUCACAAGCCCUGACUUCAGCCAGCACUGGGGCCCUGACUGCAAAGCUCCUCAGAGCUGUCCCAGCUGAGGCUGGCUUUUACCAGCGGCUAUGGGCUGACUUGUGUCCCUCAAAAUCCCUGUGUUGAAGUCCCAAAACCCAGAACCUCAGAAUGUGACCUUAUUUGGAGGCAAAGUCCUGAAGAAGGUCAUAAAGUUCAAAUGAAGCUGUUAAUGUGAUGCCCUAAUCCUGAAAGACUGAUGACUUUGAGGAAGAGAAUGCACCCUGGGCCCAAAGAACACACCCACAAAGGAAAAGCCAUGUGGGCACACACAUGUGAGAAGGUACCGCCUGCAAGCCAGGGAGGAACAAGACCUGCCAAGACCUUCAUCUUAGACGUUCAGCCACCGAAAGUGUGAGAAAAAACCUUUUUACUGUUUAAGCCACCCAGCCUGGGCUAUUUUAUUAUGGUCACCCUAGAAAACCAACACACCUCCCUCCCUCGGUGGAUGUAGCCACAGGCAGUGAGAACUUGGACAGGGCAGCUCUGGAUCUGGAAACCCUGGCAGGCCUGACAGCUGAACACUCACCCAGCAGUGCUCCUGGGGACAGUGCUGAGUCCCUUCAUUGCAGAGCAUCCAUUAGGUGCAUCCCAAGGGCCAUCAGAAACAUCAAAGAAAAUAAAAUUCUACACACUGCAUAGAAAAAAAUCAGAUUACAUAAUAAGAAUGAAAAGUACUUACUGUUUCCAGAAAGAUUUUGUAUAUUUAUUUGCAUAUAUAUUUUUGCAUAUAUCUACAAGCACCCAUGCAUAUGUAUGUGUAUUGACUAGGAAUGGAAGGAAAAUAAUUUCUUUUUUUUUGGUACUGGGGAUUGAACUCGGGUCCUUGGGCUUGCACAGCAGGUGGUGAAACCACUGAGCUAAAUCCUCAGCCCAGGAAAAUAAUUUCUUACUGUCAAAAAUGUUCAAGUCACUUCCCUGGGCAAGAAAUUAGAGUUGUUUUUUUUUUUCUGAAAAAGCUAAACAGACCCAGAAAAGAAACAAGUAUUUACCAUCCAAAAGUGAAGUCUACAUUUUGUAAACCCCUCCACCCACAUGGAGACUUUCACCAGCUAAGUAGCCCCCAUUAUAAUAUUAAUGGACCAAAACAGACCACCAGGCAGGUAAAGCACACCUCCAACCUAAAACAAAGACUCAACAUGGAAAACGGAAAAUUGAAUAAAAGGAGAAACUACAGAGAACAGAAAAACACUGUUCAAGUAUGAUUAUAGCUUGAAAAUUAUGAAAUUUGUAUCUAUAAAAUAAAAGUAAAAUGCUACCAUAAAAGACUAAUUAGGAAAACAGAAUUCUUGGAAAGUAAACAUAUCAUUUUUAAAGCUUAAAUAGCAGGAAUAGAAGAUAAAGUUAAUUAAACCCCAAAAUAGAACAUAAGCAGAUGAACAUUAAAAAAGAAAAUAUAUGAGACUUACAGAAUCAUUUCAGAAGGUACAUUAUAUGACUAGACAGAGCUUCUGAAAGAGAAGAAAUUAGGGGGAAAUAUUCAAGGAAAGUUCUUAGACUAGAGGUCACACAACUCAAAAUUGAAAAUGGCUACUAAGUAUAGUACUCAUUACAAGAAAUAGAAAAGGCCCACACUAAGGCACAUGAUUGAGAAGUGUCAGACCACUGGGAAUAAUAAGAGAAUUUCUAAAGCUUCCAGAAAAAGCAGAAAGAAUAAGUGCUAUGCUAAAACUAGGAAUUAAAAUACUUCUCGACUUCAGUACUAGACUAGAGAAAGCAAAAAACAUGCCUUAAGAAUUGUGAGAGAUAAUUUUUUAAAUCUAGAAUUCAAUGUCCAGCCAAACUAUCAAUAAAGUGUGAGGGCAGAAUAAAAAUAUCUUCAGACACAGAAGAAUUCAGGAAAUUUAAGUCCUAGGCACUCUUUUACAAAAAGUUAUCGCAGGAUAUGAUCUUAAAAAGUAGAAGAGAAAAACAAGAAAGAGGAAAACACCAGACCCCCAAAAGAUGGGCUCACAAUAGAGAUGAAAAGAGAAUUAUGUGAAUUUAAGUUGAUUUGAGCAUAACAGCUCCAAAAGAAGCCUAGAAAACAACAAAUUCAAACUGACACAGGAGGACACAGGACACCAGUAAGGAUGUCUCCGAAAAAAGAAAAAUGUGUAGAAUGCUUCAUGAAUGUGAACAUAGUAAGAGGAUAUUGACAUUCCUGGUAGAGGAUAGGGGAUGGAUUUGUGAUAGAUGAAAAAUUAAGCAGACAAAUAACACACGGUAACUAUCCUUUCGAGAGAAAACAAAUUUAUACCAAGCAAGUUAGUAUAAUAAUAGCAUUUUAUAUACCUCAGCCGUGAGCAGUAUUUACAUUAUCUUAAAGACAGUAUUCAAUAAAAAUUAAAUAAACUGAGAAAAACAUUGUGAGGUAAGUAUAUUGAGAGAAUAAGAGGAGGAUAUGAAACUAAACCUAUAUCCUUCAUAGAAAGGAGUUACAGAUAAUAUCUGGAACUGAAAAAAAUUAAGAAAUAGUUGUCAGAAAUAUGGAGAUAAAUACCAAAAGAAACAGCUAAGAGAGUUGACCGUGGAAAUAGAGCUAGUCUAUGCAGUUGUUCAGGAAAACAGCCUGCUCUUUUCUUAAGGUCUCUGAAGAGUGACCUGGUUUUUGAAACUCUAUGCAUUUAUAACCUGUGUGAGGAUAUGAAUCACCUUAAAGGGAAAAACAACAGUAUAUGCAUUUUAUUUUUGAUCUAUGGAGGAAAACAUCCUCAAAGCUAAAAAAGGGAAAGCUUGAAAGUGGUUUCAUUGGGUAUCAGGACUGGAGUCUUCGCUAUAACCAUUAUUAAGCUGUUUAAUUCCAUGCAAUUGCACUUAUGCAUCCAGCCGUGUAACACUUAAGAAGGGCUUUGGAUUUGAAUUUAACUCAGCUGUUUGCAGCUUCCUAAUCUUUAAAAUCAUCAUCUUCAUUACGGAGAGAAAGAAGUAAAUGGGAAAACACCUUUGGAAGCACGGGAAGAUUGAAAACGAUCAAUGAAGUUUUCCUUCUUUCUUCAAACAAGGAGGUCCCUGGUUCUCAGUAGUCUACACUCAUUCUUUGAAAUCUCUCUCUUUCUCUAGAUCACAGGAAUCCUCCUCUUACAUUUUAUGUGUAGAAGAAAUACUCAGUAAACAUGUGAAUAUUGAAGUCAUUUUUAAUUUCCCCAUGUGAAAUAAGAAACACCUUUGUGUAAUUUGACUAGUCUUGCAGUGAGACUCUUUUCCCAACCAAAAAAAAAAAGUUCAAUAAUUUAUUCCCUUGACUUUCCUCAAGCUUGAAUGAGUUUGGAAGAGUUCCAGAUUCAAAUCUGAUCUAAUGAUAGUUUCAACCAGUCCACUCAUGGAAGGAUGCUGCUAAAGCCAGGCUGUAGUGAAGUUGGGGGCUUGAGUUGAGCCCCAUAGCAUGUGGGGUCCCCUGGAUCAGUAGACUCUGGCAAGAGCAGGUAAACUCCUUUAUCCAGAACUGUACAAUUCCCAUAAUUUCCUUUGAGUGUCACAUCACAGAAAAGGAUGGAGAUCACAGCCUUAAAUGGGUACUAUAAAAACUGUGAUUUAUAAGGACUUGUAGUCACUUAGGUAGUCUUUUUAUAAUGAAAGUAUAGUCAGCCCUCUGCAUUCAUAGACUCAUUGUAGAUCAAAAACAUUCAGAAAAAAAUCUGGACAUGUACAGAUUUCCCCCAUUGUAAUUGUUCCCUAAAGAACACAGUAUAGCAACUCUUUGCAUAACAUUUGUGUAAGGAAUCUGAGUAAUCUAGAGAUAAUUCAAUCCACGUGGGAGGUUGUGCAUACGUUUUAUGCAAAUAUUAUGCUAUUUUAUAUAGGCGACUUGCACAUGUGUGGAUUUCAGAAUCUGUGGUGUGGGUGGGAGGAUGGGGCUCUAGUUAAACUUGCAUGCCUGUAAAUGAUUUUUUUAUAUUCCCAAGUCUGAAUGGAAACUAUGUAAUGUUGGGUUCAUCAAUGAGUUUGGAGGAAGUUCAGCUACAAGGAACUUACACUUGUAAGUGAGAUAGUAGUUUAAACAAUUAGAUCAUCACUCUCUCCUGUAAAUAGAAUUCUGGAGAAAGUCAGCCCAAGCCUAGUAUGGUGCCUUCCUCCUCAUCAAAGAUCCCAGCCAUUUUUCAGCUUUUGCCCUUACAUUGAGAAGGUGUAAGUCUCCCUGUCAGGAAGCAUAAGCCAGGACAUCUACACUCCAGAGGGCAGAAAGGCAGAAGAAGAGAAGUCUCCCACUAGAGGAGACUUUCCAGGAAGUAACCAUGCUAUUUCCAUGUGGGUCUCAGUAUGAGGAUUCUGCCCAUAGCUGCAAGCAUGUUGGAGAUGGUGCCACUAGCUGGGUGGCAACAUGACCAUUUUAAAAUAGAAGUUCUGUUAAGUUGAGAGAAAAGGGGAGAAUGGAUAUUUGAUACGCACACAGCCAGCCAUCUUUACAUGUUUUAGUAACUGCCAUGUUGUUCAAUUCAAAUGAAACAACUCUGUCCAUCAGCUUAUGUAUUCUGCUAGGUUAAUAUUAGCAUGAAGGAAGACCAAUUAGCAAAUUCAUUAUUUGAGAUCUUGCUUACAUAUUUUCACUGGACUUAAUUUAUGUUUAGCGGAGUGCAGAUAGGGAAUAAAAAUUCAAUUCAGCACUGUUUGGUGUUCAUUUAUUUAUUAGCUAUGUGAACUUAGGAAAAUUACUUAAAUACUCUGAAACUUAAUUUACUUUUUUAAAAAAGAUAAUGAUAAAAAUAAUAAUCAUAUCCAUCCAGUAGGAUUUUGGAGGACUAAAUUAAUUACUAUAUGUAAAAUAUUUUGAAUAGUGUCUGGCAUGUUGUAAGUGUUCAACAAAUGUUAGCUAUUAAUAUAUUUUUCCUGAAUCAAAACUUUUCCCUUGAAAAUCUUAGGUAGCCAUGACAAUCUGAUUCUCUAUUCAGAAUUUCCAAUCACACAGAAAUUAUAAAUGAGAUUUCAGAUGGGCUUUGAGUUGAUGGGUAACCUAAAUAUCCUGGGUUGAUCAUUAUAUAAUGUAUGCAUGUACUGAAAUAUCACAUUGUACCCCAUAAAUGUAUACAAUUAAUGUCUGUCAACUUAAAAAUAAGAAAGAACAAUUUCCAGGUAUACAAUAUUUUCCGGCUUUGCAUUAGUAGAUAGUUUUAAAAUGCUAGGGUUGGAAAUGUAGCUCCAUAGUAGAGUGCUUCCCUAGCAUGUGUAAUGCCUUGGGUUCAAGUCCCAGGACUGCACUCUCCCUCCAAAAAACUGAUUCCUAAAGUCAAAUCACAGGGUUUUACUUGAGCUACUAAAUGUUAUAUUCCAUACUGCCUUAUGAAAGGGAGAGGAGAGAAGGUAGGUUUUGGUAAAAUUGAAUGAUAAUGGAUUGUCUUGUAUCCCCACUUCUUUUUUCAAUAGACUAAUACUGAUAAUGCCCUAACAUAAACACACACACACACAUACACACACACACACACACACACACACAGAGUUUGGAAGCAUCCUGUUGCCCCAGGCUGGACUUGUCUGCAUCUCUCUACCUCCAGCCUGCAGGAUGCCUUCUAGAGCCCUUCUUUAUUAUGUUUCCUGAUGAUUUGUGGCUGUUCAGAAAGAUAAAAUUGACCAAAGUGGGGCAGAAAUGUCAUUUUUAUGUGUUUCUCCAUUAUUUCCUGGGUUUUAAAAAUAAGUUUUGGUUAAACAUCUCCACAAAUACUAGAGGAUCUAUUUUCCUUUUAGAAAUGUACUGACUGUGGUAGCUCGGUGGUUUGUUAUGGCUUGUGACUAGAUGUCCUCCCAAAAUCUCAUGCAGUCAUAGGUGGGGCUGGAUCUAGAGUGUGUGACCCUGGGAUUGAUUCAGGUGCACUAGGAUUAAGUGUCUGAGUGCUACCUGCCCUAAGUAGCUUGAAUAAGAUAUAGGGGAUAAAAGGAGCCCCUCACUUGCUUUGCUGCCUUCUCCCCACCAUGAACUGUUUCUCCUCUGCGAUGCCUAUCUGCCAUGCCACCCUGCCUUGGAGCCAGCCGAUUAUGGACUGAAACCUCUACAAACUGUAAGCUAAAUAAAACUGUCCUCAUUUAACUUUGGAUGUCAGGUUUUUUGUCUCAGCAAUGAGAAAAAUAACUAAGAUACUGAUAGCAUGUUUAGCAUGUAUGAGGAUCUGAGGUUGAUUCCUAGCACCACUCCCUUAAAGAAAGCAAUAUUUAAGGCAAACCUUGAUAACUAAUUGCAUUAGAACUAUAGCUAAAACAUCUUUUUUAAAAUAAUAAAAACUGAAUUAAGGAAGUUUUAGAAAAAAAGAAAAAAAUGCCUAUAUUCAUAACUUGUGUCUUUCAUCUUUGGUCCUAAGGCAAAUGGUUUGGAAAUCCCUGAUUUUCUUUCUUGAAAGAGAGAGUAAUGAGGCAUUAUAGAACAUGUGCUUCAUGGUUUUUCUGGACGAAAUGGGAAAUGACACAUAUUUGUUCGACUUUUAUCCUGUGACCAAGAACUCAGUUAUGUGGCAACAAUGGCUGAGUGCAAAGGAGGCCUGGAAAGUGGUUGAGUAUCCCUGUGACCAGCAGACACCAAAGUGGAGAUUCUGUUACUAAAACAAGGAAGGGGUGAACAGUUAUGGGGUAGGCUUGCAGUCCCUGCCAUAAAAAUGUGUCACAUUGUUGUGAUAUAGAAAAAAACCCACUUUUAUUAUGCUUUUUACUUAAGUUGUACUCAAGUAGUAUUUUUUGUCAUAUUACCACAUGGUUUUCAUAAUUAUAAAGUACUGGCUUUACAAUAAUUGAGUAUAUAAUCAAUGAAACCUGUUGUUGAAAGUGUGGAUUUCUUUCCAGUUCUUCACUAUUUAAAAAAAUUACAAUAGAUCUUUUCAUGAACAGUAUUUUUUUUAUCUUUUGGGGAUGAUUCUCUUAGGAUACAUUCCCAGAACUAAAAUUACUAGGUCAAAGGGUGUGUGAACAUUUUAUGAUUCUUAAUAUUUUUGUUCCAAAUUGGUUUCUGAGAAGGCAGUUACCCAUCUGUUCCCAAAGGAAAUGUGCACAUUUUUCUAUAAAUGUGGGUUAAGAGACAUAUUCACAUAUCCUUGUAGGUAGAAUGUUUUCAAUUUUCAGAAUCUGGCUGGAAAUAACACAAAAAAACCCAGGACAUGAGUCUGAAUCCCUUAUUUUGACACUUCAUAGCCAUGGGCAAGUAUUUUCCCUGUACCUGAUUCAUUAUUUAAAAAUUGAGACUACAAAUACCUCCCUCAUAAGGUUAUGUGGUAAUCAUUAGGGUUGUUGACAAUUAUCCUGCUUUCCCAUCUUCUAUGCAUGUCAGAAACACAAUUCCUUGGCCCCCUAAAUAGAGAUAUGACCUUCUGGCUUGUUUUAGCCAAGGAAAUGGAAGUAGAAAUAAGGUGCCAUUUCCAGACAUACGUUUUAAAAGUCUGUAUAUUUGCCACUUUCUUUUCAUUUUGCCAUGCAACUGGAAGUGUUUCAGGCCAUACCCACUCUUUAAACCUCAGUUCCAGAGUAAGGACUGCACAGAACAUUGGCCCAAGCCAACCUACAAUGGAUGGAUUGGUGGUAAAUGGAGAAGUCUUUGGGCUUUUUGAAGCUGCUGUCAUUGUCUGUUAUUGUAACAUAAUCUCCCCUACUCAUACUGGGGAAGAUUGUCUCAAAAUUAAUGAUAUAAUAUGCAUAAGAUAUUGGACCAAUGGUAGAGCCUCAAUAUAUGUCCUUUACAGUAAAUAAUUACCAUUCAGUCAUUUAAUUCUCUCUUUGUGUUAGGUAUCUGUGCACAUUAUUGUUAAUUUUCAGAGCAAUCUUGGGUACAGUAGUCUUCUUUUCUCCAUAGUGUUAUGGUCUAUAGUCUAAAAAUAUUAAAUGGAAAGUUCCAGAAUUCAACAAUUCCUAUGUUUUAUGCUGUGUGCUGUUCUGAGUGACAAAAUCUUAUGCUUGUCCUACCCUAUCCCUCCCAAGAUAAGCAUAAAUCCUUUGUCCAGAGUAUCCAUGCUGUAUAUAUGACCUUCCCAUUAUCACCUAGUAGUGUCUCACUUGUCACAGUGACCAUAUCCUCAUUGCCCUGCUUGUGUUCAAAGAACUCUUAUUUUUCUAUAAUUGCAAAAGUAGUGAUGCUGGCAAUUUUAUUAUAGUAUAAAUGCUAUCAUGGUAUGUAAGUAUAGGAUAAAAACAUGGGAUAUAUAGGGAUUGGUACUCAUCUAGGUACUCACUGGUGGUCUUGGAAUGCAUCAUCCAAGGAUAAGGAUAGACAAUUGUACACAGUGUAAUCAAAUCCUAGGGUGAAUGCUGCAGCCAUGUACCAUCUAAUGGAAAGAUACGGAUCGUCAAUACAAGAAGUGCCGUGUCGAUCAUUAGUAAGAGUGUGUGACUAGUUUCAACUGUGGUUCCCUUCAACACAUUCUAACAACAGAUGUGAACAUGAAGGAAGUGUAAACUUUGUUCCACAUGUUUUGACUGUGGAGCAAAAGCAACAGCAUUUGUUCAUUUUGUUGGAGUUGCUAGAUCCUGCUGCUUCAGAUUUCUGCUUUUUAAGCUAUGUCAUCAUGGAAGGUGAUCCUUGGGUCUAUGGAUAUGAUCCUGAGGUUCAGGAUUGUCAAUGCUAACUCACUUGGUUCUUCUCAUGUGAGAAAAGUGGGUCAGUCGAGAUCCAAGGUGGUAUUGAUUGGGUUUUGACCUUGGUGGGACUGGGCAAGCUGAGUGCAGGACAUUAUAAUGGUAUGUUAGAGUGUGUAAGAAACCACGUGGGUAAAAAAUGCUCUGGGAACAGGCAAAUGCUUUGAUCUUCCAUCAAGACAACCGUCUCUGUCAUGUAUCACGUCUGGUAGGGC